AUUGAACGCUGGCGGAAUGCUUUACACAUGCAAGUCGGGCGGCAGCGCGGGGGCAACCCUGGCGGCGAGCGGCGAACGGGUGAGUAACACAUCGGAACGUACCCUGUCGUGGGGGAUAACGAAUCGAAAGAUUCGCUAAUACCGCAUACGACCUGAGGGUGAAAGCGGGGGAUCGCAAGACCUCGCGCGAGAGGAACGGCCGAUGGCGGAUUAGCUAGUUGGUGGGGUAAAGGCCCACCAAGGCGACGAUCCGUAGCUGGUCUGAGAGGAUGAUCAGCCACACUGGAACUGAGACACGGUCCAGACUCCUACGGGAGGCAGCAGUGGGGAAUAUUGGACAAUGGGCGCAAGCCUGAUCCAGCAAUGCCGCGUGUGUGAAGAAGGCCUUCGGGUUGUAAG
rnacentral:rRNA from 1 species